CUGAAAUGAUGUGAUGUAUAUUUUCAACCAAAACCAUUCACCAAAUGAAUCCAAAGCAUCAAAACAUUUGUCUUUUCCAGUCCCUCUUUUCCAGCACUUUCCCUCAUGUUUCUGUGAAGCAGCCUCAGCAGCAAGGUUGGAGGAUAUCAAGUCCUCAUCCAGGGCUGCAUCCUUGCUUGAUGGCUUGGCUUCACAAAGGAUUUAAAGGAAUUUCAUGGGCAGCCAAAGCUGUCAGACAAGAUCAAGCUAGCUGCAAACCCUCCAGAGCGACAGAGAAUUUAGAUGGGAAGCCACGCGUGGACUCACCAUGGUAACACAGCCCCACAUUCUGAUGAUAUAGGCAGCAUCCCCAGGCCUGGUGUGUGAC